rnacentral:rRNA from 1 species
UAACCUGCCCAGAUGACCGGGACAACCCGAGGAAACUCGGGCUAAUACCGGAUGUGCUGGCUUCACAUCAGUGAGGUCAGGAAAGGUAGCUUCGGCUUCCGCGUCUGGAUGGGCCCACGGCCCAUUAGCUUGUUGGUGAGGUAACGGCUCACCAAGGCGACGAUGGGUAGCUGGUCUGAGAGGACGAUCAGCCACACUGGGACUGAGACACGGCCCAG